rnacentral:rRNA from 1 species
GGUGAGUAACGCGUUGGUGACCUGCCCCGAAGCGUGGGAUAACAGUUCGAAAGGGCUGCUAAUACCGCAUGAGGUCGUUAAGGCUAGAGGCUUGACGACGAAAGGAGCAAUCCACUUUGGGAGGGGCCUGCGUCCCAUCAGCUAGUUGGUAAGGUAAAGGCUCACCAAGGCGAAGACGGGUAGGGGGCCUGAGAGGGUGACCCCCCACACUGGCACUGAAACACGGGCCAGACACCUACGGGUGGCAGCAGUAGGGAAUAUUGCACAAUGGGCGAAAGCCUGAUGCAGCAACGCCGCGUGCGCGAAGAAGGUCUUCGGAUCGUAAAGCGCUUUUUGGGGAGAUGAGGAAGGACAGUAUCCCCAGAAUAAGGCUCGGCUAACUACGUGCCAGCAGCCGCGGUAAAACGUAGGAGCCAAGCGUUAUCCGAAUUCACUGGGCGUAAAGCGCGUGCAGGCGGUCUGGUAAGUUGGAUGUGAAAUCUCCUGGCUCAACUAGGAGAGGCCGUUCAAUACCGUCAGACUAGAGGGCGACAGAGGGAGGUAGAAUUCCCGGUGUAGUGGUGAAAUGCGUAGAUAUCGGGAGGAAUACCAGAGGCGAAGGCGACCUUCUGGGUCGUACCUGACGCUCAGACGCGAAAGCUAGGGGAGCAAACGGGAUUAGAAACCCCGGUAGUCCUAGCUGUAAACGAUGUAGACUGGGUGUUGGCGGGGUAAAAGCCGUCAGUGCCGAAGCAAACGCGAUAAGUCUACCGCCUGGGGACUACGGCCGCAAGGUU